GAUUUGAUUAAAAUUAAGUCUGGACUGUGGAGAUCAGCAGGGACAAAGACUACAUGUAUAUGAGGCCAUCAUUAACUUCUGAGGUUAUGUUUACAAGUUAAAUUCUAAAAAGUAAGCCCGAUCUGGGUUGAUCGGCGAGAAAAGUGUAGCAUCUUGUCUGUUUCAAGAGAAGUAUUUCCAGAUUCCAUAUCAACUCAAAGGGAAGAAUAAAUGCUUGGGUGUAAUCUCAGCCUGAGAAAGCUUAGUUCGAUUUUGGCGAUCGGCGAGGAUAAUGUGACGUUGCAGAGUUGUGUCAAGAGCUUUCAGUUGUUAAAUAAAAGACAAUCUUCCCCCAUCAAGAGGGACUCCUGGAUUUGAUUACAAUUAAGUCUGGAGAUCAGCACUAGGUAACAUGUCAAAAGCAAUAGGUAACUUUCAUCUGAAAAGGAAGUCCAAUCUGGGUCGAUCAGAAAAAAUAAUAUAGCAUUACAUCAUCUUUAACUUCCAUAGUACUAGUGUCCAUGUGUUAAAGUUUGGAAAGUAAGUCCGAAUUGGGUUGAUUUGUGAGAAAGCUGAAAUAUUAGGCCAACUUCAAGAGUAUUAGUCGCAGAUUUUGUUAACUGAAUUUUGAAGAGUAAGCCCGACCAUGGCGGAUCUGCUUGAGAAUGUAAAACACAUCAUUUUCAAGAGUAAUUGAAAGGUAGUCCGAUCUCAGUCAAUCGGUGAGAAGAGUGUAGCAUCUCGUCAAUAUCAAGAGAAUUAUACUUUCAGAUUCCAUACCAACUUGGCAGUGGCAAUGGCAAAUUGGCAGGAGGACAUAAAACACGUCAUUUUCAAGAGUAGAUUCAAGUGACUUAAGCUUGGAAAGUAAGUCUGAUCUCAGUCGAUUAGUGAGAAGAGUGUAGCAUCUUGUCAAUUUCAAGAGAAAUGUUACAUAUCAACUUAAAGGGAAUAAUUUAUGUUUACCGAUCUGGGUCUAUCGGCGCGGACAACACGACAGUUCAGAGUAGUGUUUACAGUUUGUUACAUUUUUUAAAAGCAAGCCACUCCACCCCAAUCAGCAGGGCCCUUUGCUUUAUUGAAAUUAAAUAUGAUCUGGAUCGAUCAACAUAGACAAUGUGACACUUCAAGAGCAUUUUUGUGAAUUUAGGUAACUUGAAAUCUAAAAGUAAGUCUGAUCUGGGUCGAUGUACAAAGACAAUAAGGCAUUAUGUCAUCUUCAACUUCAAGAGUAAUGUCUUUAUAUUGAAUUUUGAAAAGUAAAUCAAAUCUGGGCUGACCGCCAAGAAAAAUGUAGCAUCAUGUCAACUUUAAGACUUAUAUUCGUAGAUUUCAUUUACUUUAACUUGUACUCGCCUCUUUGAAGUUGCCAUUUCAAAAUCCAAAUUUCAGUCAUCGCUGCAGGGACGCUUAAUAGCUUUGAUUUAAAAUUGAGACCGACCUUGAUCGAUCAGCAAGACAGUGCAGCAUAAAGUCAACUUCAAAAUUAAUGUCCACAGAUUUAAUGUAAGUUACAAAAAAUAAGCCCAAUCUAAGUCAAUCAGCAAGGGCAGUCACACAGUAUCACGUCAAUGUCAUUAGUUGUUGUAUAGUUUUACUUGCAUUUAUAAAGGUAAAUGUUUAGAGAAUGCUAAAUUUUAGGCUACUUUGCCUCAGAAAAUACAGUGGCUAACUUAGCCUUUGAAAAUAAUUGGGUGGCUACUUCGCCUUAGAAAGUAAAUAAAAAAAAUUGAAGUCUCUCUCUCUGUGUUUUUCUUUAUGCAGCUUUCUUCUUUCCCAAACUAAAGUAAACAAAUUUUUAUAUCAAGAGGAAAAUAAAUAGACCACCUUGGUAACAAAUAAAAUAAGAUAUGAAACAAAAUGCCUCCGCUGUAGCUCACCAGAAAAUAUUAGCUGUAUGCUACUGCCAUACAACCCAAUUCAGCACGACGACAAACGCGAAGGAUAAAAAUUAACAACCGGAAUCACCCAGAAGGAAGCACAGGCGGCGGAGUAGUGAAACGACCGCUGUGAUCAUCAGCAAUGCAGGAAAGAAUGAAAAAGAGACAUAUGGCAAUGGGGGGGCUAUUUAAAGAGAAAUGGGAUGCGCCUCAUCACCACUCGCGUUACGUAAUAAACGAAAAAGGCAAUGAAAGAAAUUCGACUCGGGGCUACUACAAAUGCAAUCCAAACCGAUCAGCAAGGACACUUAAACAAGUCUUGGAUCCUUACCUUGAAUUUAAACAGUUGGACCAAUAUGGGUCAUCUGGCAGAUGGUAAGUUGAAUUGCCAUGGAGUCAUUUUUCAAAUUGUUAUUGACCAUGCUAGUCUGAUCUUUCACCCUCCACAGAUCCUGUUAUUUUUCUGAUUUUUUGUGAGUUUUUAGGCUCAAUAUUGAGCAGCUGGGGGCAUGGGGGCAUGCAAAAUGGCAAUGGUUCCCCCCCCCCCGUUCUGUCACUGGUGAUCAUCCUAACUUCUAGGUAAGCUUAAAUCAAUAAAAUGGGAAUAAUGUUUACUCUAAUGAGUGACCUAGCUUGGCUAGGCCCAGUAUUUUUAUAUCCCCAUUCACUAAGCUAAGCCAUCAGACUGCAACUUGGAGCAAACAUGCAGCUAAAAGGAUGAGGGUGUACAAGCCCAGUGGAGGCUGAUUGGACAAGGAAGAGACUGCUUCCCAAGGGUGAAGAUGGACCUUAAGAUCACGCAGAUGAAACUGGAGCCAGAGACUGUUUCACUAGAACCAGCGUGGAUCCCUGGGCUGUUUCUGAUGAAUCCAAGGAACUGGAAGUAGGGAGGAGGACCAACGGUUGAGCUGAUGAUCUAUUUGCUGUGCUUGCCAUUUUUUUUUCCAGAUGAGGACUGCAAACCUGGACAAGGUUGGCUGGAUGAAGAAGAGGCUACUCUCUUUGCUUGAUGAAAUGACAUCCCUACCCUUCAAAUGAACCAGUAGCAUGUAGGACCUACAGAUGAACUGAUGACCCUGCUUGCUGUACUUGUCAGUGCUUAUUUUGCAAAGACUGCAGAUUUGGGGAAAGUUGAUUCAAUGGAGGAUAGCAGGCUACUUUUUGUGUCUGCAACUCAACCAAUGAAACAGAAUUAAGGAACUGGAAGGAGGGAUGCUGAACGCUGAACGAUAGAUGGCUGAUGACCCAGAUUGCAUUGCAAGUACCGUACAUACUCCAUGGGUGUAGGCCCCCAUUGAUAUUAUAAAGGAAUGACUGGUGGGGAUGAGAUUGACAGUGAGGAAGAAAAGAUGACUCCCAAACCGUCAUUUUUUUCUUGAGUUACUCUGUGACUUUCUUCUUUGUGUGUGUAAAAUUUUUUAGGUGAAGACAAUCCUGUAUUGGACUAAUGUAAUUAAGAAUAAAAUUAUGAUACGGAUGAUGCCCUCUACCCAGGAUACCUCCUUGUUUUGGAUGUUUCAAAAGCUGCAGACUAUGGAACCUGGAUGGAUUUGCAUGGACAGAGAGGCUGCACCCUCCAGAGAAGGAUCACCCUGGCCAAUGAGGAAGGAGCCUCACCUGCAGAUGACCGAUGACUGCCUUCCCCAAUGCUGAUUGUUGUGGAAGUACACUGUCGGCACAUGCAUCCAGACUCGAGUCACCCAAGUCCUCUCCUGAUGUGUCAAGUCUGAGCCACAUAUUGCAACUCAAGAUGGAGUCUGAGUCCUGGAAUUGAGUCAUAUGAAACUGUGGGCAUCAACUAGCAGACUGGAGAAGUAAAUAUCAGCCCUAAAGGUUCAGAUUCUAUGCAGAUUUGCUCUGAGCAAUUAACCAGGAUUACUGUUGGCAGCAUUUUAAUUACAAAUUUAUCAGUGAAAAUUCAGAGUCCGGAGGCCAGAUAUUCUACCAUUUUUUGCAUUAAGUAGAUAGAUCAAAGAGCUCUUUGUUUGACAUUACACUAAGUUCAGCACCCUGAUGAAAAUUUUCAUUAUGUGGGUAAAAAUGGCGGAGGAGUCUUUCUGAUUUACAUUGUGCUGUAUCCUUUCAAAGGUGUUACCUUAAAAGAGGCUCUAGAGACUUGCAACUCAUUUUGUUGAGCAACAUUUUGAAACUGGUUUUGGGUUUAUAAAGGCUAAUUCAUAUUUCAGGCGAACAUCAAAGGGAAACAAAUUUAACAUCACUAAAAUUUGCCAAGAAAUUCUCUUGAGUUGAAAUGUGUGCAGCACAAAUAAUCUCAAAUUAUAAUUUCAAAGUUUGCGUUCGUGUUUGCCUGAAGUAAGAAUCAGGCUUGAUGCUAGUAAAUUAUGUAAAUACUAAAGAGGCCUUUUUCUGUUUGAAGCCUGUAGGUUUAUGUGCAGAUAAUGAUAAAAUAAAUAAGAUUCAACUUUUUCUUUCUGGCAACAAAAAAAGGGAAGGUUUUUGUAAUUUUCACAGGACCGACAACUUCUGAAGAAAUAGUUUAUUUUUUUACAAAUUGCCUAUCAAUUUCAAUCAAUUCUUUUAAAAGCUAUGAUUGAACUUCCUAAUAAACAACAAAUAUAUCGUCGUAUUAGUACUAUAAGGUCAUUAACAAAAUAUUUGCACUGAAAGGUCAUUAAUGAAAUUGUUUUAAAACUUGAAAUACUAGCAAAGUCCUGGUGAAGAUCUGAGAAACAGUCCCCCAAAAUGAUUUUUAUCAAUGAAGUAAUGUGAAACAUUGUCUGUUUCUUUAUAAAAUUAUUUCAUGCUUAGAAUAGGGCCCUAAAAUUAUUUUAAAAUUAUCAGUGCUAUAAGGUUGUUACUGCCAUAAUGGCCUUAUAGCACUGACCCGACGAUAUUUGACUUUUACACACUUUAUGAAGCACGUGUAUCAAAGUUUGAACUAGCUGGUGAAAAAGGUUUGAGUAAAUAAAGACUUAAGUGGCUACCAUUUAUAGAGGGGCUGGAAUCACUUUUCAGUUACAUGCACAUUCAGAGGUGAAGAUUGGUUUUAUUUAAACAAAUCAAGUUAAUAGUCAUGAAUGAAAUUCAAACUAGUUAGAACUUUGUCAAUUUAAAAGGAAGGCUGGAGAGUUCAGCCCCAUUGUGUUUCUUUACACAUAAUAGGAUUCCUUUUGAUUCAGAGAGCACAUCACAAAGUGUGCAGACACUCGAAAUAAUACGCUGUGUUUAUCCUUCUUUUACAUUUGUUUGCAUGCAUUUCUAUAUUUGUUUAAAGUUUUAAUUUUUGGUUGCUUUGAGUUUUAUGAUUGCUGUUGUUUUUAACCUUGUUUUCAAGCAAAAGGAUAAACACAGUUAUUUAGAGUGUUUUUUGAUACCAAAUUUUUUCAGAAAAAAAUGUUUGUAAAGCUUUGAGUGUUGUAUGACAAUUUUUCUAAACAUUCUGUUUUCUAGUGGGGCUAGCUGCUCACCACUGCCUUUCCUUUGACCCCAAUUCAAUUUGUGCCCGGGUCUUCAAUUUCACAAAAAAAAUAUCAUUUCUGGGGUUGUGUCCUCUCCAGGAUGCAGGGCUACCUUUAUAAUCUUUAACAUUUUUCUUAGCAGUAUUAUUCCUCAAGUAACAUCUAAUUUUAAAGAAUGUCAAAUUUCUGUACAUUUCCUAAAAAUCAUAGUAUAACCAGUUUGUCUAAGUACCCUGAAUAUUGGAAUUUUAUUUAUUUGUUCAUAAUCAAAUUUUUCACAAUAAUAGUUUGUAAAAAAUCAGUUACACGUCAUUCUAAGAAUUAA